rnacentral:rRNA from 1 species
AUUGAACGCUGGCGGAAUGCUUUACACAUGCAAGUCGAACGGUAGAGGGGGCAACCCCUCGAGAGUGGCGAACGGGUGAGUAAUAUAUCGGAACGUGCCCAGUCGUGGGGGAUAACGUAGCGAAAGUUACGCUAAUACCGCAUACGAUCUAAGGAUGAAAGCGGGGGAUCGCAAGACCUCGCGCGAUUGGAGCGGCCGAUAUCAGAUUAGGUAGUUGGUGGGGUAAAGGCUCACCAAGGCAACGAUCUGUAGCUGGUCUGAGAGGACGACCAGCCAGACUGGAACUGAGACACGGUGCAGACUCCUACGGGAGGCAGCAGUGGGGAAUUUUGGACAAUGGACGCAAGUCUGAUCCAGCCAUUCCGCGUGCAGGAUGAAGGCCCUCGGGUUGUAAACUGCUUUUGUACGGAACGAAAAGGUCUCUCUUAAUACGGGGGACUCAUGACGGUACCGUAAGAAUAAGCACCGGCUAACUACGUGCCAGCCGCCGCAGUAA